rnacentral:rRNA from 1 species
GAUGAACGCUGGCGGCGUGCCUAAUACAUGCAAGUCGAGCGAACGGACGAGAAGCUUGCUUCUCUGAUGUUAGCGGCGGACGGGUGAGUAACACGUGGAUAACCUACCUAUAAGACUGGGAUAACUUCGGGAAACCGGAGCUAAUACCGUAUAAUAUUUUGAACCGCAUGGUUCAAAAGUGAAAGACGGUCUUGCUGUCACUUAUAGAUGGAUCCGCGCUGCAUUAGCUAGUUGGUAAGGUAACGGCUUACCAAGGCAACGAUGCAUAGCCGACCUGAGAGGGUGAUAGGCCACACUGGAACUGAGACACGGUCAAGACGACUACGGGAGGCAGCAGUAGGGAAUCUUCCGCAAUGGGCGAAAGCCUGACGGAGCAACGCCGAGUGAGUGAUGAAGGUCUUCGGAUCGUAAAACUCGGUUAUUAGGGAAGAACAGAUGUGUAAGUAACUGUGCACAGCUUGACGGUAACUAAUCAGAAAGCCACGGCUAACUACGUG